GGGGUGGGGGGUGGGGCGGCAGCUGGAGAGUGGGGGCUUCCCCAGCGGGAGAGGGAGGACGAUUCUGGAUGGCUUCCCUCCUUGUGGACAGAGUGAGUCUCUGCUAUGAGAAAGUUGGCUCCUAGACCCGUGUUGGAGCCACACUGCCCGGGACAGCCCUGAAGCAGCCACGUCCCCACCUUUCAGGAGUCGGCCAAGAGCACGGUGGCUGCAGAAGGCCCUGGCUGAUGGAGAUAACAUUUGACAAACAGGUGCUUUUCCAAUUAUGGAUAACAACAGAAAAGCAGUCAUUGGUUUCUAAAAGGUCAUCAAGAUAUAAAGCCCGUUUGGGAAGGGAAUGACUUACGCAGUGGGCUUGUAUAAAUCUGGAGAAGUUUUAUGCACAAGUCGGACAAGAAAUGUGUUCUACAUACGGCUCGGGAGCCAGCAAGUGCGUAUGAAGCCCCUUCACAUGGCUAGUGGCAUCCUAAGGACCCGGCGACAAUUAGUCAUGGCGUCAUCGAACACCAGGCUGGAGGAGGUCUUGGAUGCCACAGCUCCUUUUGAAUUUCAAAGACGUUCAAAUCCCCAUCUGGCUGUUACACUUUUAGGCUAUUGAGAGUGAAAACAAGCACUGACAUGAACACCCAACCAGCUGCCGGUGACAUCGUCCCCUUCUGAGAUCUGAGGACAUGGAUACCCAACCACCUGCCGGUGACAUCGUCUCCUUCUGAGAUCUGAGGACAUGAACACCCAACCACCUGCCGGUGAUAUCGUCCCCUUCUGAGAUCUGAGGACGUGGAUAUCCAACCACCUGCCGGUGACAUUGUCUCCUUCUGAGAUCUGAGGACAUGGACACCAAACCACCUGCCGGUGACAUUGUCUCCUUCUGAGAUCUGAGGACAUGAACACCAAACCACCUGCCAGUGACAUCGUCCCCUUCUGAGAUCUGAGGACAUGGAUACCCAACCACCUGCCGGUGACAUCGUCUCCUUCUGAGAUCUGAGGACAUGGACACCCAACCACCUGCCGGUGACAUCGUCUCCUUCUGAGAUCUGAGGACAUGAACACCCAACCACCUGCCGGUGAUAUCGUCCCCUUCUGAGAUCUGAGGACGUGGAUAUCCAACCACCUGCCGGUGACAUUGUCUCCUUCUGAGAUCUGAGGACAUGGACACCAAACCACCUGCCGGUGACAUUGUCUCCUUCUGAGAUCUGAGGACAUGAACACCAAACCACCUGCCAGUGACAUCGUCCCCUUCUGAGAUCUGAGGACAUGGAUACCCAACCACCUGCCGGUGACAUCAUCUUCUUCUGAGAUCUGAGGACAUGGACACCCAACCACCUGCCGGUGACAUCGUCUCCUUCUGAGAUCUGAGGACAUGGACACCAAACCACCUGCCGGUGACAUCGUCUCCUUCUGAGAUCUGAGGACAUGAACACCCAACCACCUGCCGGUGAUAUCGUCCCCUUCUGAGAUCUGAGGACGUGGAUAUCCAACCACCUGCCGGUGACAUUGUCUCCUUCUGAGAUCUGAGGACAUGGACACCAAACCACCUGCUGGUGACAUUGUCUCCUUCUGAGAUCUGAGGACAUGAACACCAAACCACCUGCCAGUGACAUCGUCCCCUUCUGAGAUCUGAGGACAUGGAUACCCAACCACCUGCCGGUGACAUCAUCUUCUUCUGAGAUCUGAGGACAUGGACACCCAACCACCUGCCGGUGACAUCGUCUCCUUCUGAGAUCUGAGGACAUGGACACCAAACCACCUGCCGGUGACAUCGUCUCCUUCUGAGAUCUGAGGACAUGAACACCCAACCACCUGCCGGUGACAUCGUCCCCUUCUGAGAUCUGAGGACAUUGAUACCCAGCCACCUGCCGGUGACAUCGUCUCCUUCUGAGAUCUGAGGAUAUGGACACCAAACCACCUGCCGGUGACAUCGUCUCCUUCUGAGAUCUGAGGACAUGAACACCCAACCACCUGCCGGUGACAUCGUCCCCUUCUGAGAUCUGAGGACAUGGAUACCCAACCACCUGCCGGUGACAUCGUCUCCUUCUGAGAUCUGAGGACAUGGACACCCAACCUGCUGCUGGUGACAUCGUUCCCUUCUGAGAUCUGAGGACAUGGACACCAAACCACCUGCCAGUGACAUCGUCUCCUUCUGAGAUCUGAGGACAUGGACACCAAACCUGCUGCCGGUGACAUCGUCCCCUUCUGAGAUCUGAGGACAUGGACACCCAACCACCUGCCGGUGACAUCGUCUCCUUCUGAGGUCUGAGGACAGACACUCACAUGGACACCUAAACACCUGCCGAUGAUAUUGUCUCCUUCUGAAAUCUGAGGACAUGGACACCCAACCAGCUGCUGGUGACAUCAUCUCCUUCUGAGAUCUGAGGACAGACACUCACAUAGACGCCCAAUCAGCUGCUGGUGACAUUGUCUCCUUCUGAAAUCUGAGGGUUGGAACACAUUGGCCUGGCUCAGUGUUUCUCCAUGUGGUUUUGAGACCACCUGAGUUGGAACCGAUAUGGGUUCCCAGCCUCACGCCUGGAGAGCUGGAUUUUGCGAGUGUGAGGUUAGGUCCAGCAUCUGCAUGUGUAACGAGCUCCCAGGUGUUUCGUAGAUGCAUUAGGGCUUGAGAAGCUCCUUUCUAGCACCAUCUUCCUUUUUGCGCAUGAGGGAGUUCAGGUCCAGAGAAAUAAAGCAGCAAGGUUAGUGGCACA
rnacentral:lncRNA from 1 species